CUGUUGAUGCGGAGCUUCCAACUUGAGGAAAACUGAGAAAAUUUGGUUUAGUGAAACUCAUCAAGAUCCUACACAGAAGGAGCCCAAGCAUGAAGUAGGUCAAAUUCAGUCUCCCUGGUCACGCCCUUCAGGCAUUGCUGACGUGAGUGGCAGAGGUGGACUGUGUGUGUGUGGAUGGAUUCCUAGAUCUCAGAGCUGCUCAGUACAGCUCACGCCUAAUGAAAAGGUGCCUGCACAGGGCCUGCAGCCAGGCGUCUAGGUUUUCACAUUCAAUCAGUUCUUUCAGAUCUUUAGAUGUUUCCUCCUGGAAAGCUCUGUGUCCCAGGUGCUUGGUGUUAGGCUGAGGGAAAGGAGAGCCACGAUCUCAGCCGCAAGAACUGUGACCCUCCAGGGUGGUAACAACCCAGAGCAUCACACAAAGAAUAUUGUUUCUGGCACCAUGUUUUAUUCAGAUUAAUCUACUUACCUCACCAUACUGUAAACUCAUCCAAGGCAAGAAUAAUGUCAUACUCAUCUGUGGAUUCCUAGCCCCCCGUGCACUGCUUGACACAUAAGAGGUGUUGAAUACAUAAUUAUGGAAACCAGGAAGGAAGGAUGGGAGGAAAACAAGAAAGAAGAAAGAAAUGAGAAAUUGAUGGCUGGAGGAAACAAAAUACUAGGUAGAGUUGAGUACUGUGGAACAAAAUCCCUAUAUAAUUAUUAA